CUUUGAUUGGGCCCCGAAUGGUGGGCGGCUGGGCAGGUCUGGGGGUAUCCGGUUCCGGAGACAGGCGCCCCUGUGAACACUGCCUCCCUGUUCCCCACUGGCUCUAUUUUUCUUAAUGCGAAAGUGCGCUGGUGGAGCCCUCGCGUAAUUAGGUUAUACAGGAAGCACGGAUGGGGAGACCUCAGGAAACUUACAAUCAUGGCGGAAGGCGAAGAGGAAGGAGGCACAUCUUACAUGGCCGGAGCAAGAAAGAGAGCGAACAGGGAGGUGCUACGCACUUUUAAACAACCAGGUCCCAUGAGAAUUCACUAUCACAAGAAACAGCAAGGGGGAAAUCAACCCCCAUGAUCCAAUCAUCUCCCACCAGGACCCUCCUCCAACACUGGGGAUUACAAUUUGCCGUGAGAUUUGAGCAGGGACACAAAUCCAAACCCUAUCACCAGGCCUGGCAGAUAUUUGUUCAAUGAAUAAACUCGUGUCUCCUCCAUCAGGCUGUAAGCUCCCCGAGGUUAAAAACAGGUCUGUCUUGACAAUCCCUGGUUCCCCAGAACACUGGCCAAGUAACAACACUGAGCAGGGACUCAGUACAUGUUAAACAAGUGACUCUCUUACCUUCAUUUACCCCACACCUCCCUGAGAAUCAUGAAUUCAGGGGGACUUGGAAGGUACAUCUGAGUUCAUCUUUCCAGGAGUCACACACUUAAAUGCCUCGGGGUCAGCUAGGAGCAUAGGUACAAACUAGGUCAUGACCUUGUAAGGCACUUGGGAGUGCUGAGGCCUGUGGCCAACUAACUGGUGGGCAUGUUUGGAUAAUCAAUUAAAACACAUCUCUUUUGGUUAUUCUUUUCUUCCUCUCUGGUCUCCCUGUAUUAGUUGGUGUUCUCCAGAGAGACAGAGCCAAAAGGAUAUGUAUAUCCUAUAUGUGUGUAACACACACACACA
rnacentral:lncRNA from 1 species